rnacentral:lncRNA from 1 species
UAUAAUGUAGGUACAAGUUAUAGCGCAAAUACCGCAUUCAGUUAGUUUGCAGCUUCCAGUUAACAGGUGAUGAAUCCUUAUGAUUCGAGGGCUUGAGUCAGUUAUACAGUUUGAGAAGUAUUGUAUUUUCUUACUUUAGUCAUAUUGAGAUUGGGUAGUUGGGUGUCAUGACCCAUCUAUCUAAAAUCAGUACCUGUAGAGGCUUCAUAGACAGUCAGUAAAAGUUGAUGUAUUCAGUUUCAGUUUUAUUUGUAAAAGUAGAGUUGUAAACGUGUGACGUUCAUAAUUGUAUUGAUCAAGUUCAGAUAAGUUCUAUGUUUUCACUAAUCUCAUGUAGACUUGAGAAUUUUGUUCAGUUGCUUAUGAGUUAUGCCAGUAGAAGGGUUAGCUUAGGGUUACUUAUGACCCUAAUCAUCGUGUGACGUCUCAAGGCCUAAUUUUGGGGCGUUACAAACUUGGUAUCAGAGCAAAGAGUUCAAGUAUCCUAGGGUAUCUAUGAAAUUGUGUCUAGUAGAGUUUCGCGGAAGGGUACGGAUAUGUCUGUACUUUUCUUCGAGAGUCUACAAGGCAUUUAGGAAAGGUCUCCAUUCUUUCAAGUCUUAGAUCGUGCUAUAGAAAGGUUCAUUGAGAAACUUAUACAGACUCUCAUCUUAGCCUAUUCGGGGCAUCCCCGCCUUAUUUUCAAGGUACUAGAGACAGUCAAACUCAAUUCUUUGUAGAUAGUACUUUCUUAAACAAUCCCCACAUAUAGUUACAAAGUUGUAAAUGAGCAAGAAAGUAUCCUAUUAGUACCUUAUCAUGUUUUUCUUAUAAAUCGUGCAAUAAGCCCAAGUUAGUUACGCUUCCAGAUUUCCUCCUCAGAAUCCAUAUUGAUAGUCUAUACUUCUUUAUCUAUGUACUAUUCCUGGGGUAACAUGAUUAGCGAAUUCUAGUUUUCUCCCUCUGAUAAUGCUUUCAGACUUACUUGUGUGGAGUUUCAGAAGUUUUACAAAGCAGCUUGAGUGAAGCCUCCUAGCGUGUUAUAAGUUCCCCAAGCUUAAUGUUAUGUCCUCACUCUUACAAAUCAUUCAGUUAAGACAGAGUGAGAUGUGUAUUCCUAAAUCAUCAAAUAUUGUAUGCCAAGUUUCUACCUUUCAAAAUUUUAUCAUCAUUAUGUUGUUAAAACUAAAAGUCUGGUGAAGCCUUAUGGGGCUCUUUCGAUUCACUAGCAUAAUUUCUUUGUUAUUCACCUCAAAUUCUUUUUCAAAAUACAAAAAUCAAAUACUAGUGAAGCCAGGUGAGGCUUAUUUUGAUUCACUAGCGACUCUUUGUGUAUCUUGUUUUCUCGUGCUGAUUGGAACUGGGUUUAGAGGUGUGGUGGCAAGAAGGGUGGUAAGUUUGAUUUAUUGAAAGUAUGUAUAGCUGAGCCUUUUUGUGUGUGAUCGAGUUAGUGAUGAAGUGAUAUGUCUUUGUACAUUAGCUCGUAAAAGAAGGAGAAGGAGUUAUUGGUUAAGGUAAAUAGUAGUUUACUGAAGUACGAAAAGAGUUAUUGACGGUGUGUUGCAUAAGACAAAUAUAGGUUAUGGAUGAAGAUAUUUUGUGAAUAAGUGUUGUUAACUAGGGUGAUCCUAGGAUUGCAAGAGGAAGUUAAGUUGAGGCUUGGACAGCUAUGGACUAUGUUAAGCUAGGUACGAAGGAUAGAUAGUAAUGAUGGGUAGAAGAAGGAUGUGUUGAUGGGUUAUAAAUGAGAUAGGCCAUAUGAUUAGGACCAAUUAUUGUUAUAAGGUUUAAGUAGGCUAACAUUUAUGGAUAUUUUGUUUUAUAGUUUCCAAGUGAAAAUUUUGUGUGUGAGGUGGAGUUGUAAGUUAUGUUGAGCGCUAGGCAUUAAGCUUAGAUGAUUGGUGGCCAUGAAGGUGGAUGUGAUGAUUUCUUGGUUAAUGGUACUAGUUAUAGAGAAGUGAUCUAAUAGGUUUGAACAGUGUAUAUAAGAGCCUGAGUCUAAUCGGCUUGUAAUUAAUUUUGAUAUUGUAUCCAUGAUAAAGAAGUUUACCCAAAAUGCUAUGGGGCUGUACUAUUUUCGAGGAUCAUUGUACGUGGUGUAGAUAGUAAAGCUGUGGAGCUACUAGGUGGAGAAAAUACUAGUCAGGUAAUGAAUGAUAUUCUUGAUGGCGGAGUUAAGAGGUCUAGAUUGAAAAUGUUGAGCCUUUUUUGUGUGAGUUUGAUUCUCAUUGUUUGGAAAUAUAAGUCUACAAGCAUGAUAUUAGUAGGUUAUAACGGUAGUAGUAUGAUCCAUCAGAGGUUGGGAAGCAUUCAAGUUGAGCGUUAGAAUCUAAGAUUUGAAAUUGCAAAAAAAUUGAGUUAAUAGGAAUGAGGGUUGAGUGUUAGGUGCUGUAUACUCCGAAUAUGGGGAUGAUUGUGUAGAUCUGAAGUUAGUGAGCGUGCGGGUAUCAUAUGAUGACUACUGGAGGUAUAGGGAGAUAGGAUGUAAUUCAGAAGGUGGUGUAAGGAAGUGGUUAUAUAAUUUCAGAUGUAGUCACUCGGAUUAAAUUCUAUUGUUCUUGUGUAUUGAUUAUAUCCCAAACUCUAGAGUAAAAUCAUUUAAGUUUAGAUUAGUGCGUAUAUGGUGGUUCACCUAUUCAGAGUGAUGGCUUAAGUCUAAGGGGGAGAUGAUAGGACGAGUAACCAAGUUAAGCUCCCAAAUUUUAGGAGAUGUACCAGUAAGUUGUAAGGUACCGGUGGGAAAAAAUAAUGCUCGACCCAUUCUUAUUUUAGAAAUUUUCAACAUUUUGAAUAAUUACUCAUGCUUUACACUUCAGUUCCAUAAUCAUAACUCAUGCAUACCAUAAAGAAUUGUCCCCUCUCUUAGUUCCCAAAAUAUGGAGUUUCAGAUCUUUAGGAGUUGGAAUUACAUUCCAUAAAUUGCGAGUUCCAGAUUUAGGUUAUGCGGAUCAUGACUCAUGUACUCAAGUCUUGUGGUAUGUUCAGUUCAAGUACUCAAGUAAUGUUUCUAAUGAUCAACAAAAAUUCAGAUUUAUAUCGUGCAUGUCCUCGGGCUAUAUUUCUUUGAUAAGUUUAUGAUGUUAAAUCCUCUAUUCUUCAAGCCUUAGUUGAGUAUCAAGUUAUGCAUAGUAUCUAUUCAUGUGUCAAAUCCUCAUGCUCUAAUCUUUUAGUUGUCUUUCCUUAAUCAAGAUAGUAGUGGUGAAUGGUUGUUUAGACGGGAGAGAGAAGAUAUUUCCUUAUCUACAUCAGAGGGUGGCAUGCUUACUUUGGCUAGGCGGUAGGUUGAAGUAAGAUUGAGGCUAAGUCUUUGAUACAUGCCAUGGUUAGUUGAAGUUUAAUGUGUAUAAUUGGAAAGAUUGUUGUAUGUUCAUUUUGUGUAAUUCCAUGAGUCUGAGGGGAAAAUUAAAGUGAAGCGUUUGUGUGGGACUUGAUUAGGUAGGAGUAUGUUGGGUGUACUUGUCUAAUUUGAGUGCAUGAAAGUUGUUCUUGAUAAGGGGUGUGUAGGACAUGAAGAAGAGGCUUUAUACUUUAUAAGUAUUUGAUUAGGAAUGCAUAUGUGGUUAUGAAAAUAGGCUCGGAGGUUGAGUUUGUGUACGUAUGGAUAGAUACAUUGUGCCUUAGUAAAUGACUAGUACUAGAUGAAUUGGAGUUGUCGAAAAGGUAAUAAGAAUUACUCUUAAAGUAAGAAGUUGUAAAAAUAUAGAUAUGUGGAAGAAAAUGAUUCAGAAUGGUGUCAUGUGGCGAAUUUGGUGGUUCUAGGUUAGGCAUGAAAACGAUGAGAGGGUUUGGUUUGAGGAGAUAUGACUAGAUAGAAGCAUCAGUGCCAUGUGAGGAUUAUAAGUCGUAUCGGUUAAGUAUAGUAUCAAAAGGGUAUAGUAUAGUUGAGAGAGCGUUCGAGAAGUAUGGUUAAGUUUAAGAGUAAGAAGUCGCAUCACUUGAGGCCUAGUACUUUUAUCCCGACUUGUGAUUUAUAGGUUUAUGUUCCAAGCUAGGGGAUUAUGGCAAUUCGAUGAUCUCUGAUUUAGAUGUCUUGUUUAGAUCUUGCCCGAAGUACCUUGUCCUUCAAACUGUUAGAAUUCCUUGAAAGGGGGUUGAAGGAAUCCUCCACUUAAGUAUGAGUAUCUAGUACGAUUCUGUUUGCAUAGUCGGCAACCCAGCUUUUAAAAUUUAGCAGAUAGGUUCUAUGGUCUUCCAUUUUUCAAAACUAGUAUGGUCUUACCACUCGAAGUUUCAUGAGUACGGUCAAUCCAGCAAGUGGUUGCACGCACCCAAAAGCUACGAAUUUAGUUCAGUAUAUGUAUCAGGCAUCUGUUUCAGAUUCGGAUAUCUAAUUAUGAUUCAGUCUGUAGGUAUUCAUUGAACGGUCUUUAUUUUUUCCACGUAUUCUAACCCAGACAAUGUAAUACCUAUUGUAUAAUUUUAGCCUUGUUCCUUGUGAUCUACGCUUGCAUAAAUUAACACUUCGCAGUCUAUGAGUACGAUGUACCCUGAUCACAUCAAGUGAAUCCUAAACUCUCAGCAUGAGCCCGCUCUUUAUUAUAAGCAGAAGGCAAACCAGCUCAGACUUAGUUGAGAAUUACAGUUGUCCUCUAUUCUAUUAUUUACCAGUCUCGGAUCCAACGGUAUAGCUAUUCUCACCACGAGUUGUACAUUCAGCAAAGUAUUCCAAAGCUUAGAAAGAUAUAGAUUUAUAUUAGAAAAUUGUUUCAACUAUGUAUCUAUAGUUUUCUCUGUGUUCUUGGCAAAACUAGCAACAUUCGAGGACGAAUGUUUCCAAAAGGGAGAUAUUGUAAUACACCCGAUUGUUCCUUGAGUCUAAAUCUAUCUUCUGAGUAUAUGGAAAUGACUUCCAAAGUGAAUGCUGAUAGAACCAUGUAUAAUUUCUCUAAUUUCUACUUUUUGUCAUGUAGAGCAUUGAAUAAGCUUUCCAUCGAUACCAAUUUUAUCGAAAUCCGACAUCGGAUGGGGGAGUUGUGGCUAUUUUACUAAACAAUAUCGGAAUCGCCCAGGCUUGAUGGUGGACCUGACUGACCGCCAAGUCCUUGGUGGACCAUCAAGUGUCCCAUCAAGGCAAGGCAGUGACCUCUCUUUUUAGUCAUCAUGUGAUGGCCAAAGUGGUGGACCGUCAAAAAGUUGAUGGACCAUUAAUGGGUCCGUCAGGUUGAGGCAGAAUGUUCCAUUUUUGGCCCCUGAGUGACGGACGAUCUGGUGGACCGUCAGAUUCCUGACGGACCAUCACUUAGACCAUCACUCUGAGGCAGAACAUCCUAGUUUUGGAACUCAAGUGACGGACGACUUGGUGGACCGUCAGUCCCUCUGACAGACCGUCAGGUCAACCGUCACAGGCCCCGAUCAGUGAAUUUCAGCUUUUUCAAAAGAGCAUUUUGGUUUUUUUUUUGCCCAUUUUCGUAUUAUAAAUAUAUCCAAGUAGUAAAGUGAAGAUCAUUUUCUCUUAUUUCUCUCCAAUCUCUCCAAGAACUCUCUAGAAGCUAGGGUUUUCUUCCAAGACCCAAAAAAACUCAAUCUUCUUCCAAGAAAUUCAAGAAUCUCCCAUAGAUUUCUCCAAGUGGUUCAAGAAUCAAGCUUUCCUAGUCAAAGGCAUCAAGAAUCUUAUCCAAAAAGUGCGAGAAAGAAGUUCCAAUCAAGUCUCUUAUUCUCAAAUUUAUAAUUCAAGGUAUGUGGGGUUUGAACAAUAACACUUCUUUUGUUCUUGUGCCCAAAGAUUUAAUUUCUACUAUUGAAAUCCAUGUUUUGCAAAGUGGGUUUACACCCAAAUUACUUUAUUAAUGAUUUAUGAUAUUUGAUCAAAUCAAGAUUGAUACACAUGACUAUUUCAUCAUUUUGGUUCAUAAAUUGAGAAUUCAUUUCAUGAGUUAUAUAUUGUCAUUAUGUAGCGAUGAUUUCUAAGCGAUUUAAAAAAGGUUUCAUGAGUUAUUCAUUUCGAUGAGAAAUUUGACAAUUGAAUAUAUAUCGAUAUUUGAGAUUGAAAGUCAAGAAUGAGUCCUACGAUGUUUCCUUGAAGCUUUUGAUAUUUGAAAAUGAUUUGAAAAGCAAAUGUACUUGAUGUUGAUAAAGAUUGUGUUGAGUUGAGUCGAGUUAGGAAUCCACAAGAUGUUUAUGAUUUACAGAUGAGAUAUAUAUUUAUGUUUUGGUCUUUCUAAUAGACCCAUGAGUUGAUAUUGAUUAAGGUGGAUUUCCUAACGCGUUCUAAGCUAAGUCUGGGAGGAGUAUUUAGCACCGAGCGACAAAUGUGGUAUUUCCCCAAAACUACGUGCCACCGUAGGAUUAUGUUGAUAAUUGUGGGCUAGAGGUCGAGUAUGGGAUUGUGACAAUGAUAUUGAGGUUGUACUCCCUGAAAAGAGUACAACACCCCCGCCAAUGUGGGGUCCUCUCCUUAGGAGGGCAAAAUGUUGGACUCCAUGCGGCUCACACGGUGUAGUCAUGUCGGUUAUAAGAAACUCCCAAGUCCAUAAGAGUUCAAGUUUCAUGAGUUAUCGAGUCACUCUAAGUCAUGAUUUAAAGAGUUUGUGUUGAGUCUAAUGAUUUAUAAGAUAUAUAAUGCUUUCAUUACUAAUGAUAAGUUUCAAGGAAUAUAUUUCAAUUAAUUCAAGCAAAGAAAGUCGUUAUCAUCAGGAUGCAUGAUUUUUGUAAUCAUUUAUGAUAUUAUUUAUAAUGUUGCGUUGCACCCUCACAUACUUAGUACAUUCUUUAAAGUACUGACCUCCAUAUAUUUCUAUAUGCUAAAGUGCCUUAUAAUGUAGGUACAAGUUAUAGCGCAAAUACCGCAUUCAGUCAGUUAGCAGCUUCCAGUCAGCAGGUGAUAAGUCCUUUUGAUUCGAGGGCUUGAUUCGUUAUACAGUUCGAGGAGUAUCGUAUUUUCUUACUUUAGUCGUAUUGAUAUUGGGUAGUUGGGAUUCAUGACCCAUCUUUCUGAAAUCAGUACCAGUAGAGGCUUCAUAGACAGUCAGUAGAAGUCGAUGUAUUCAGUUUCAGUUUCAUUUGUAAAAGUAGAGUUGUAACCUUGUAAUGUUCAUAAUUGUAUUGAUAAAGUUCUGAUAAGUUCUAUAUUUUCGUGGAUCUCAUGUA